CCUACGGGAGGCAGCAGUGGGGAAUAUUGCGCAAUGGGGGAAACCCUGACGCAGCAACGCCGCGUGAGUGAGGAAGGACUUCGGUCUGUAAAGCUCUGUUAAUGAGGAAAAAUGGUAGUUGGUCUAAUAGGCCGAUUAUUUGAUGGUACUCAUAGAGGAAGCACCGGCUAACUUCGUGCCAGCAGCCGCGGUAAUACGAAGGGUGCAAGCGUUGUUCGGAUUUAUUGGGCGUAAAGCGCGCGUAGGCGGACCUGCAAGUAAGAUGUGAAAUCUCGAGGCUCAACCUCGAAACUGCGUCUUAAACUACAGGUCUAGAAUCUCGGAGGGGGAAGGGGAAUUUCGCAUGUAGGGGUAAAAUCCGUAGAUAUGCGAAGGAACACCAGAGGCGAAGGCGCCUUCCUGGACGAGUAUUGACGCUGAGGCGCGAAAGCGUGGGGAUCAAACAGGAUUAGAUACCCUGGUAGUCCACGCUGUAAACGAUGAACACUAGGUAUUGGAGGAUUUGACCCCUUCAGUGCCGUAGCUAACGCGUUAAGUGUUCCGCCUGGGAAGUACGGUCGCAAGCUAAAACUUAAAGAGAAUUGACGCUGAGACGCGACGACGACGACGACGAGGAGGAG
rnacentral:rRNA from 1 species